ACACACACAGACACACACUCACAGACACACACAGACACACAGACACACACAGACACACACACACAGACACAGACACACAGACACACACACAGACACACACACACACAGACAGACACACACCUAUCAACAACCCAUCAUCAGUGCCCUUCCUCAUUACAGACCGAUUCAGACGGUGUUGGUCUCUCUGUGACCCCUUCAUAAAUCCCACAAAGUCACCCCACAAAGUCACUCCCACAAAGUCACCCCACAAAGUCACCCCACAAAGUCACUCCUACAAAGUCACCCCCACAAAGUCACCCCCACAAAGUCACCCCACAAAGUCACCCCCACAAGAUAAGAAUCCUUAAAGUCACCCCACAAAGUCACCCCCACAAAGUCACCCCACAAAGUCACCCCCACAAAGUCACCCCCACAAAGUCACCCCCACAAAGUCACCCCCACAAAGUCACCCCACAAAGUCACCCCACAAAGUCACCCCCACAAAUCACCCCACAAAGUCACCCCCACAAGAUAAGAAUCCUUAAAGUCACCCCACAAAGUCACCCCACACAGUCACCCCCACAAGAUAAGAAUCCUUAAAGUCACCCCCACAAAAGUCACCCCACAAAGUCACCCCACAAAGGCACCCCCACAAGAUAAGAAUCCUUAAAGUCACCCCACAAAGUCACCCCCACAAAGUCACCCCCACAAGAUAAGAAUCCUUAAAGUCACCCCACAAAGUCACCCCCACAAAGUCACCCCCACAAGAUAAGAAUCCUUAAAGUCACCCCACAAAGUCACCCCCACAAAGUCACCCCACAAAGUCACCCCCACAAGAUAAGAAUCCUUAAAGUCACCCCACAAAGUCACCCCACAAAGUCACCCCCACAAAGUCACCCCACAAAGUCACCCCCACAAAGUCACCCCCACAAAGUCACCCCACAAAGUCACCCCACAAAAUCACCCCCACAAAGUCACCCCACAAAGUCACCCCCACAAAAUCACCCCACAAAGUCACCCCCACAAGAUAAGAAUCCUUAAAGUCACCCCACAAAGUCACCCCACAAAGUCACCCCACAAAAUCACCCCACAAAGUCACCCCCACAAUGUCACCCCACAAAGUCACCCCACAAAGUCACCCCACAAAGUCACCCCCACAAGAUAAGAAUCCUUAAAGUCACCCCACAAAGUCACCCCCACAAAGUCACCCCACAAGAUAAGAAUCCUUAAAGUCACCCCACAAAGUCACCCCCACAAAGUCACCCCCACAAA